GAACAACAAAAAGAGAAAGAAUACCUUUCUUAGCUAGCCUAGCGUGCUAGAAACCUACAGGGAACAAGAGCCAGAUCGAAGACAUUCCUUUCAUUCUUUUAUACCCAUAUCUUCUUAGUUGCUCCUCUCACCCAACUAAAACAUCUUCCAAAAGAUCGAAGACAUUUCUUUCAUUCUUUUAUACCCAUCUCUUCUUAGUUGCUCCUCUCACUCAACUAAAACAUCUUCCAACGAACUUUAAGGAAAAUACUGCAGAAGACAUAAAACUUGUGGCGAGGUAAACAGUUCAAAGUUACAAUGGUGGCCCAAUUUGAUCCUUACACAUGGAUCUACCGUUAUUUCUUUAAAAAAAACAGGGGACUAUCAGCUAAAAUAUUU
rnacentral:lncRNA from 1 species